rnacentral:tRNA from 1 species
GGUAGCUCAGUGGUAGAGCAAUCGGCUGUUAACCGAUCGGUCGCUGGUUCGAAUCCGGCC